GGGCCCGCACAAGCGGUGGAGUAUGUGGUUUAAUUCGAUGCAACGCGAAGAACCUUACCAGGGCUUGACAUCCUGCGAAUCUCUGGGAAACCGGAGAGUGCCUUCGGGAACGCAGUGACAGGUGGUGCAUGGCUGUCGUCAGCUCGUGUCGUGAGAUGUUGGGUUAAGUCCCGCAACGAGCGCAACCCACGUCUUUAGUUGCCAGCAUUUAGUUGGGCACUCUAGAGAGACCGCCGGUGACAAACCGGAGGAAGUGUGGAUGACGUCAAGUCAUCAUGCCCCUUACAUCCUGGGGCUACACACGUACUACAAUGCUACGGACAAAGGGGCAGCAAACUCGCGAGAGCUAGCAAAUCCCAUAAACGUGGCUC
rnacentral:rRNA from 1 species